rnacentral:lncRNA from 1 species
UUGGGUUUAGAAAAUUUAAAGGGUUUAUGGUGACUUUUAAAUGAUUUGGGCUAAAACAGUUUUUUUUUUGUUUGAAUAUUCGACCUAAAUUCUUAAAUAUUAAUUAUCAAUUUUUUAUUAUUUCAUCUAUUUCUCAAUUUGUAAAUCGUAAUUCUUACCGAUUUGUGAAUCAAUUGAUUUUUUUUUUCGUUUUAGAUCAAUAUUG